rnacentral:rRNA from 1 species
GGCAAAACUCAAAAAAAUAAGUCUCAGUUCGGAUUGAAGGCUGAAAUUCGCCUUCAUGAAGCCGGAAUUGCUAGUAAUGGCAGGUCAGCAUACUGCCGUGAAUACGUUCCCGGGCCUUGUACACACCGCCCGUCACACCAUGAGAGUUGGGAAUACCCGAAGCCUGUGAGCUAACUUUUAGAGGCAGCAGUCGAAGGUAGAAUCAAUGAUUGGGGUGAAGUCGUAACAAGGUACC